rfam:Puccinia graminis f. sp. tritici CRL 75-36-700-3 supercont2.82 genomic scaffold, whole genome shotgun sequence.
AAAAAAAAUAUGAUGAUUUUCCGAGAUUCAUGCAUAGUUCACACUGAGUGCCACGGCGCAAUGUUGAUCACCUUUCUAUCAUAUAGUCUUUCGCUCCUAUCUGAUCAUAUAC